rnacentral:rRNA from 1 species
UACGGAAGGGGCAAGCGUUGUUCGGAAUCAUUGGGCGUAAAGGGCGCGUAGGUGGUCUUGUGUGUCUAUCGUGAAAGCACACGGCUCAACCGUGUAAAGUCGGUGGAAACUGCAGGACUUGAGGUUGGGAGGGGCUGGUGGAAUUCCCUGUGUAGCGGUGAAAUGCGUAGAGAUGGGGGAGAACACUUGUGGCGAAGGCGGCCAGCUGGACCAAUCCUGACACUGAGGCGCGACAGCGUGGGGAGCAAACAGG